CAGGUCCGCUUCUUCCAGAUAGCU
rnacentral:siRNA from 1 species